AUUUUGAGCUCAACACUUGACAGUCUGAAAAGAUACGCAGUUAUUUUGAGGCCUAAAUGAUUGCUGAGCUACUUGGGAAGGCUGGGCUGUCCCUGGUGUGAUUUAUGUGGCAGUGCCAUGUCAGCCCAGGUCUGGAUCCCACCAAGAAGGGGGACCGACUUCUCCAAUAAGACCCUUCAUAAAUAAGUCGCAGAAAUUGAGGAGGAAAUGUUCUCACGCCUCCGAACAAUCCCAUCGAGUCACAGCGGAGGCAUCCAUCGAUGGGGAGCAUUGUUCCGUUGUGCACGUUGCCUCCUCCCUGAAUAAAUAGGGGAUUGUCAGGCCACCUUUCUUUCUUGGAUUUUUACCUGUAGAAAAUGACAUCGCAGCAGCUAAGGUGCAGCUAAGAUCAAGAUGAGUUUCCUGAGUGAGUUACAAGAAAAAUCCUAGUCCUAAAAUUGUCAGCUUGGGAGUAGUUCAGAAGCAGCGCAACCCAGAAGGAUGCUGGUUACUUCAAGCUUCACGGGGUGAUACAAGGUGGGGAAACGUGGGCUGAUAUUCUGCUUGGGUUUAGGCACUGGCUGAACCCUUUGAAGAACUCUGUCUCUCCCUGGCAGGCUGUUUGGGGUAUGCCUCUUGUGGCAGCAUUAGUGUGUGGCUCAGAAGAUUGAGAGAAGCGCAUGCUGUGGCAUCAGCAGAAGACUGUGCUCUAGCCUCUGAUGAUGUACUCUGAUGCUUGUGGUCAGGAAAUAGCUUCAGAAUGAUGGCAGAUCUCUUCACAGGGGAAUAAGAACAAGGUUUGGCACAUAGUUGCCUCUCUCUCUUUUCUCCUUCUCCAGAGAACCACUGCUGUGCAGUGAUGGGUGUUCACCCUGCUGUUCCUAGAGGGGAAGCAAGAGCAGGAUGAAGUAGGGUGCAAAUGUUUUAUAAACACAACUGGAAGAAUGAAAAACAAAUAUCUUCUUCUUUGGAACUAAUUUUUCCACUAACUAAAGCCAGACACAUAUAUAUAAUAUAUAUAAUAUGCACAUACACGUACGCACAUAUAUUGCUCGGAAAUCUUCCUGCACAUUUUUUCUUCCACCUUCAAAAUGUAUUAACCUAAGGUCACGAAGAUGGAGCUCCAUACAGAUCAAAACUAGCAGUUCUGAGAAGGUGGUAGUGUUUUACAUCGGGCACUGUCCUCCAGUAUAUGAAAAGAACUCUAGGAAGGCAACUGAAUUCUAGGAACGGUUAGAUAGGGGGCUGAAACGACAGCAUCAACAAGAGCUUUUAUUACUGUGGAAUCUGAUAUCUGAAGGAAAUUGGAGCAUUUUCCUGGAUGUUUUGCUGUGGAUACACAUCUUUGCCUAAUAAACAAAAAGUGUAAUGGAGUGAGAUCUGAUAAUGGCAAAGCGGGAUAGGAGAUGAGCUUCUCUGGGCCACAGGUGGCCAACUGCACAGCCAGAAAACCCUGUUCUUCUUUCUGCCCUGGGAGGUGCCUGCUGUCUGAGACUGGUAAGGACUGUCCUGAAUCAAUUUGAGGCAAUCAACAUCACUUUGUGGACACUUGAAAGUAUUUCUCUGGAGCUGUUUGCCUUUGAAAGAGGGUGCUUGAAGUGUUCACUGGCUGAAGACUUGGCCUGUGAGCAAAUAAGUCCAGCUUGAUACAGGAGACUGGGAGAUGAUACCAUUGUAGCCUGUGAAGACAGGCAUCUCCCUGCUUCCUCUUAUCUGCUGACUUAAAUUUGCAAGGCCUGGAAGAUGGGAACAGAAGAGUUCCUACUGAAAUCCCAAGGCUAGAAGCUGUCACUGAAAGGAGCUGACUUGACCACUUUGGACUAUAAAUAAGAGUUUGUACUGUCAUCAUUAGUAGUCAUCAACUGAACAACACAACCUCUGACGACCCAUCAGACUGAAGAUCAGCAGCUGACAUCAAGACAUCCCUGGAUCUAGGAGUGGUGAACUGCAUUGCUUUACUGUGUCUAUAGUUCUGUCUGUCCUUCUUUCCCUGUUUUCUAUUUUUUUCCCUUUAUCUUCUUUUAUUCUUUACUCUUCGUAGUAACUGUUGCCUAAAAUUGUCUUACCUGUAAAUCUUAUUAAUCGUAAUUAGCCAGUUAGCCAAGUUUACAUCCAAGUAGUUGUUAGUUGUUAAGAGAGCUCUCAAUGAAUUGAUGCGU
ensembl:lncRNA